rnacentral:rRNA from 1 species
AACUCAAAGCGGAGGAAAAGAAACCAACAGGGAUUGCCCUAGUAACGGCGAGUGAAGCGGCAACAGCUCAAAUUUGAAAUCUGGCCUUCUGGUCCGAAUUGUAAUUUGUAGAGGAUGACUUUGGUUAGGUACCUUCCGAGUUCCUUGGAACAGGACGCCUUAGAGGGUGAGAGCCCCGUACGGUUGGAUGCCGAUCCUUUGUAAGUCUCCUUCGACGAGUCGAGUAGUUUGGGAAUGCUGCUCUAAAUGGGAGGUAAAUUUCUUCUAAAGCUAAAUACCGGCCAGAGACCGAUAGCGCACAAGUAGAGUGAUCGAAAGAUGAAAAGCACUUUGAAAAGAGGGUUAAAUAGUACGUGAAAUUGUUGAAAGGGAAGGGUUUAUGACCAGACCUUUGCGUUGGGAAUCAUCCGGUGUUCUCACCGGUGCACUUCCCUUCGUUGAGGCCAGCAUCAGUUCUAGUUGGGGGAUAAAGACAUUAGGAAUGUGAUUCCUCCGGGAAUGUUAUAGCCUUUUGUGUAAUACCCUGACCGGGACUGAGGACCGCGCUCGGCUAGGAUGCAGCAUAAU